GCAAAGCUAGGCUAGGUCUUGGAGGCUGGUGUAAGGCGAUGCGGGUGAAGGCAGGAGGCUGAUGGAAAGACUGGGGGGAAGAAAAGCCGAAAUGGAUUCACGGUGCCUUGGAUGGAGGACGAGAGGGGAACUGCAAGCUCCUUCAACUCGUUCUGUCCGGUGAGAAGUGAUCAAGCUUGGGCUGACAAGAGGCUCAGGGAGCCCUCACGUUCUUUCGCUUUUUUACCUGCCAAUCAAACUGCUACAAGACAACACCCUGAUCUGGCAUGGACAUCGCGGGUCCAAGCCUGUAGCCCCAAAUCGGAUAAUCUCUGCAGCUGAUAACAAGCAAAACAGAAGCCAGGCAACAGCCAUAUUAAAGAAGAAAACAAUCAACUCUGAGAUCCACCUUAGAAAUAAAGUUUCAUUCAAGAUAAGACUCGUGAUUUAGGAGAUUCUGACCUGGCUUGCCUCAUUCUAAGACUUCUGUCAUCUGUUUUCAAAACCCAAGGAGAACCUCAUUUUCUGUUUAGGGAUAGUUCCUCAUGCUUUGCCAGCCAUUGGGUCUUUAAGGAAGCUUUCCAAAAGUUCCCAGCUGGGAAGGACAGUCAUCACAGACAAUGAGCUGGCAUCAUAGUUUGAGUGACUCACUAACCUGGUUGCCCACGUCAAAAUGUCCAUAACCACACUAUCUAACUGAAAGACCUAUGUUUUAACACAGUGCAAUUGGAUCACAUGCCAACAUCAUCUCAAACUGUCUUGACCUUCCCUUUCAGGGUCUAUUUUGAGUACAAGAGGAGAAAGGAAAUGAUUCUUGAAUUAUAUUUUGUUUUUUAAAAAUUAAGAUUAACAAAUACUUGGUUUUAUGCCCAUUCCAUUCUAGGAACUUAGUGGUCAAAAUAGGUCACAGCAAUACAAACAGAUUAGGUUAAAACAUUCUUCUGAACUAUUUGUAUUCAUUUUUGGAGUGUCAGUUACUAAAUUUGUGUAAUUUAUCAUUUUUUUCUUGGCUUAGAGUCAAGAUGAAAAAUGAUAUUUAGAUCAAAGACAUUGUCUUGUUAUAUACCCACUGCUUUUUAUUAAUAAAAUGCAAAUCCACCCUCACAAAUGCUUGAUCAUUUUUGCAUGCACACACGUGCACACACACAUAUACACACCCAACACCCAUAUGGUAGAGGAGGCCCUUUCAAAACUUCUAGGACCUGGAUUAUGUAAGAAGUAGAUGAGAAAAUUAGAGGAGGUUGAAAGUUGUAACAGCAAUGAAAGUCAAUGAUUUAAUUUUACAAAAAGUCAUUGUAUAGAAGUCAGGUAUUUUUAAAAGCAAGCAUUAUUAUGAUUAAAGAAUAUUAUACUUCUAAAUUAUUAUGAUUUUUACCUCAUUUCAAGCCACACAUAGGAACCAUUUUGAAGUAUUUUGUAUUACAAUCUGUCACAAAAAAAAUCAACUAAUAAAGUUUUAUAAUGUGCGUAGGUUUGCCCCAUAGGGAAUUAAAUUUUAAUCUCUAAGUAUUCCUAUUGUUGUAGGACUUUAAGACAAGAUAGCAUUUGAUAUCAACACGGGAAGAUAUUCUAUGGCUUUUUUAGCUUUAAUGUUCAUUGUUCUAAAAUAAAGUACACACUGCAUUUUUUUCUUCCUAAUGUACUUUUGUUAUAUUACGUAUUUUACAGUACUUUUAGGUUACUGUUUUUAAUGUAUACAUUAUUUUUAUUGUCAUUUGGUGAAACAUAAAAUAUGUGCUAAUAAUAGCCCCUUGCUUUUCUCCUAAUUUUAUUAUUUCAUGUCAAGCAAAAAUGGAUGCUUCUCUCAGGGAAAAAGAAUCUCGAGCAUGUUUUUGAAACAAAAAUGACUAUUUACAGUAUUUACCCCUAAUAGACUAGCAUUUAUAAUGGAUCUUAUUUCAAAACUGAUUAUUCUCAAUGAAAAGCAGAGAGAUAUGAGAAUUUACAAGUAAAUUGCAUUGUUUAAAAAGUAUUUUGAUGCAUUGUUCAUAUUGUUGCCAGCUAUUGGCCAAAAAAGAAAGAAAGAAAAAAGAAAAAAAAGUAUUAUCUGCUCCAAAUGUCAUAUUUUACAGUUUGAAAGACCUUGAAGAUUCUAUUUUUUUGGAAAGCAGUGGAAAUUAAUAUCAAAAGUAUAGACAAUUUAGGACUGUAGCCACCUCCCCCAUUUUUUUCAUUUUUUUUUUUUUUUUACUUUAACCAUGAUAGGCAUCUCUGCAAGGUAGGUUUUAACAUAUUUUUUUCCUAAUUUUUUUCCCUCCAUUCAGUAAGAAGGAUAAGCUUUUAGAGUACCCAGUCACCGUGGUAACUGCCAAAAAAAUUCUCCUGAAGUUUGAAGAGGUCAGCUAGCAGGGUCAACAACUCUGGCCUCUCUCUGAGCUCGGUCUAGCAUGCCCCAGCCUGCAGUUGGAGUGUCAGGCCAGAUCUGACCCUGGGAGGUGGACCAUUCUGGCUCUGAUAUAAAUUUUUUGAGUCAGUUCAUGGCCUGGACUCUCCAGGUGGCCUUCAAAAUCGAUUUUGACCCCCUGACCCUGUCUCACGGAGGCAUAGCAUCCACCCUAAGUAAGGAUUUAGCCAGGAAUGACAGCUUUCCACUGAGUGUUAUUGGGGACAGUAUAAACAGUUUAGAAAGCAAGUAAGGAGGUGUGAGUGCUAGAAAUCAUUAAAAACACAUUACAAAACAAUUUUUUAAAAUCUUUGUUUAAAAAAGUUAAAAAUGUGUAUCUGUUACAGAAUUCCUGUAAUUUCUAGGGUUUGUAAUCAAAGUUUUGAAUAUAAAUAAGUCACACAUCUUUAUUCUUUCUAAUACUUUGUUACAAAUAUUCAAAUAAGAUAGGCAUACUUGAGACAAAAUAAGUACAGCAGGAAUGUAAUAUGUACAGAAAAAGGAAGCUAGUUAUUAAAAUUCAUUAAUAGGUAAAGAGUUUCUAGUAUUUUAAAUACUUAAAUUUUCUGUGUAUGUUUUGAAAUGUUUAAAAUGGAAAAAUUAGGAACAUU